rnacentral:rRNA from 1 species
CUAACUACGUGCCAGCAGCCGCGGUAAUACGUAGGGUGCGAGCGUUAUCCGGAAUUAUUGGGCGUAAAGAGCUCGUAGGCGGUUUGUCGCGUCUGUCGUGAAAGUCCGGGGCUUAACCCCGGAUCUGCGGUGGGUACGGGCAGACUAGAGUGCAGUAGGGGAGACUGGAAUUCCUGGUGUAGCGGUGGAAUGCGCAGAUAUCAGGAGGAACACCGAUGGCGAAGGCAGGUCUYUGGGCUGUAACUGACGCUGAGGAGCGAAAGCAUGGGGAGCGAACAGGAUUAGAUACCCUGGUAGUCCAUGCCGUAAACGUUGGGCACUAGGUGUGGGGACCAUUCCACGGUUUCCGCGCCGCAGCUAACGCAUUAAGUGCCCCGCCUGGGGAGUACGGCCGCAAGGCUAAAACUCAAAGGAAUUGACGGGGGCCCGCACAAGCGGCGGAGCAUGCGGAUUAAUUCGAUGCAACGCGAAGAACCUUACCAAGGCUUGACAUGUUCCCGAUCGCCGUAGAGAUACGGUUUCCCCUUUGGGGCGGGUUCACAGGUGGUGCAUGGUUGUCGUCAGCUCGUGUCGUGAGAUGUUGGGUUAAGUCCCGCAACGAGCGCAACCCUCGUUCCAUGUUGCCAGCACGUAAUGGUGGGGACUCAUGGGAGACUGCCGGGGUCAACUCGGAGGAAGGUGAGGACGACGUCAAAUCAUCAUGCCCCUUAUGUCUUGGGCUUCACGCAUGCUACAAUGGCCGGUACAAUGGGUUGCGAUACUGUGAGGUGGAGCUAAUCCCAAAAAGCCGGUCUCAGUUSGGAUUGGGGUCUGCAACUCGACCCCAUGAAGUCGGAGUCGCUAGUAAUCGCAGAU